UAUGGCCUCUUCCCCCCAUCAGAUUAUUCAAAGGCAACAUCACUGAAGUCAAUGAAUACCUCUAAGUCUCCUUCUGUCCAGCUCCCUGCUCCUGACAGCAUCCAGCACCCACACAAGGCAGCCUGUUGAAGCCAUCCUCUGUCUCUGAUCUGGGACAGUCUGUGGGUAUGAUGGUGACCAAGACUUCCUUAACAUGUUCCUGCGGUGCCAAGGUCACCAUCAGAAACUCUACCACUGGAGAAAGCAAAUAGCCAGGAUGAAGCAUUUCUCUUGGGAAGACACACUGAAAAUGCUUCUGCCAUUAAUUUCUGCGUUGCCUGGAGAUUAGCCAUAGCUGGGCUACAAAGCGGAUGGGAACUCUGGUUUGGAAGGUGGGAUCUGAACACACUGGUCCUGCGGAGGAACAGGAACUGAGGCAACUUAAAAGUGAGGAGGUGCUGCGAUCUGAAAGGAAAGGCAAAGCUCUGAGUCCAACUGGGAAAGCGAUCCCUGGCAGGACUGAAUGAUGUCCUGUCUCCCGAGUUCUGGUUGUGCCACUCAUCAUCCCUUUAUGAUGGAAAGAGUCGCUGCUGCAAUAUUUCUAGAAAACACACUUCGGCUGCAGCAGAGGGCCUUAAAGCAACAAAAUGUGACAACUCACCGAAACACACAAUUUAAAUAAAAAAUGGAGCAGACAAAUAAAGGCCUCCAAUGAAUAGCGUUAGUUUAUAAUAAGAAAGGGAAUUGUAAUUUAGUCAUGGUUGAAUGUUUCCCAUUUCCCCUUACUGCUCAUAGCCCCUCUUUAUAAUUGUGCUUUUGUGGAGAGAGGGGUGUUGGUAUUCUCAGGGGCUUUGGGAAUAUCCUUGCUUUAUCCUGUAAGUACCUGUCUGUUCCCUCCAUGGCACAGACUCUAAUCCUGCCCUGGAUGCAUUGAGACAAAAUGAGUUGCUAAUUUCACGGUUGAAGUCAGAAGAGAUAAUAUCUGCUCAAUUCCCUGCAUAAAAGCUGCUCUCCAGCAUAAGCCUCCUGGAAUUCUGCUUUUGUGCCCUCAAAAGGAUCGGGAUACGAGGAUCUGGUCAGGUGGGCAUGACCUCUGGGUGUACUAAAAAAUAGAAUGU